GGCUCAGGAUGAACGCUAGCGGCAGGCUUAACACAUGCAAGUCGAGGGGCAUCGGGAGUAGCAAUACUUGCCGGCGACCGGCGCAAGGGUGCGUAACGCGUGAGCAACAUGCCCGUAUCAGGGGGAUAAUCCAUGGAAACGUGGUCUAAUACCCCAUAGUAAUUAUGUAAGGCAUCUUAUAUAAUUUAAAGCUUUGGUGGAUACGGAUUGGCUCGCGUGACAUUAGCUGGAUGGUAAGGUAACGGCUUACCAUGGCUACGAUGUCUAGGGGUUCUGAGAGGAAGGUCCCCCACACUGGAACUGAGACACGGUCCAGACUCCUACGGGAGGCAGCAGUGAGGAAUAUUGGACAAUGGAUGGAAAUCUGAUCCAGCCAUGCCGCGUGCCAGGAAGACGGCCCUAUGGGUUGUAAACUGCUUUUGUAUGGGAGCAAUAAGGGCUACGUGUAGUCCGAUGAGAGUACCAUACGAAUAAGCACCGGCUAACUCCGUGCCAGCCGCCGC
rnacentral:rRNA from 1 species